AGAGUUUGAUCCUGGCUCAGGACGAACGCUGGCGGCGUGCUUAACACAUGCAAGUCUAAGGAGAAAGUUCCUUCGGGAGCGAGUAAACUGGCGAACGGGUGAGUAACGCGUAGGUAACCUACCCUUAAGCUUGGGAUAACCCACCGAAAGGUGAGCUAAUACCGGAUAAUAUCUUUCCUCAUAAGGGGUAAAGAUCAAAGGUGGCUUCGGCUAUCACUUAUGGAUGGGCCUGCGUCUGAUUAGCUAGUUGGUAGGGUAACGGCCUACCAAAGCAAUGAUCAGUAGCUGGUCUGAGAGGGCGAUCAGCCACAUUGGGACUGAGAUACGGCCCAGACUCCUACGGGAGGCAGCAGUGGGGAAUUUUGCGCAAUGAGCGAAAGCUUGACGCAGCAACGCCGCGUGAUCGAAGAAGCUCUGCGGAGUGUAAAGAUCUGUCAUAGGGGAAGAUAAGUCCCGUUAUUAACACCAUCGGGAUGUGACGGUACCCUAUAAGAAAGCCCCGGCUAACUUCGUGCCAGCAGCCGCGGUAAUACGAGGGGGGCAAGCGUUGUCCGGAUUUAUUGGGCGUAAAGAGUUCGUAGGCUGGUUGGUCAGUCGAAAUUGAAAUCCCACGGCUUAACCGUGGACCCGGUUUUGAUACUGCCAAUCUUGAGUGAGGUAGAGGUAAGCGGAAUUCCUGGUGUAGCGGUGAAAUGCGUAGAUAUCAGGAGGAACACCAAAGGCGAAGGCAGCUUACUGGACCUAUACUGACGCUGAGGAACGAAAGCGUGGGGAGCAAACAGGAUUAGAGACCCUGGUAGUCCACGCCGUAAACGAUGAGUACUUGGUGGUGGGGGAUUCGACCCCUUCACUGUCGGAGCUAACGCGUUAAGUACUCCGCCUGGGAACUACGACCGCAAGGUUGAAACUCAAAGGAAUUGACGGGGSCCCGCACAAGCAGCGGAGCGUGUGGUUUAAUUCGAUGCAAAGCGAAGAACCUUACCAGGGCUUGACAUGUCGGUGGUAAUCCUGGUGAAAGUCGGGAUGACCCUUCGGGGAGCCGUCACAGGUGCUGCAUGGCUGUCGUCAGCUCGUGCCGUGAGGUGUUGGGUUAAGUCCCGCAACGAGCGCAACCCUCGUCGCUAGUUGUUUUCUCUAGCGAGACAGCCCCUUAAAGAGGGGGAGGAAGGUGGGGAUGACGUCAAGUCAGCAUGGCCCUUACGCCCUGGGCUACACACACGCUACAAUGAUCGGGACAACGGGUUGCCAAACCGCGAGGUGGAGCUAAUCCCAUCAAACCCGAUCCCAGUGGGGAUUGCAGGCUGAAACCCGCCUGCAUGAACGCGGAGUUGCUAGUAACCGCAGGUCAGCAUUACUGCGGUGAAUACGUUCCCGGGCCUUGUACACACCGCCCGUCACGUCAUGGAAGCUGGCAAUGCCUGAAGUCCGUAGGCUAACCCUUCGGGGAGGCAGCGGCCGAGGGUGGGGCUAGUGACUGGGACGAAGUCGUAACAAGGUAACC
rnacentral:rRNA from 1 species